CGGGUCCUUCAGUAUCUGCGCUGCUCUAGUCCGGCAUCUCCUGGUGUAGGUGUCCUGAAGCGGGGGGAGAGCAAUCCUGCAGCAGCGUUCUGCUGUACGGAUCACUCUCUGGAGAGCUUUUUGGUCCUUCACACAGCUGUUCCCAAACCACGAUGUGAUGUUCUGUGUGAGGAUGCUCUCCACAGCGCCUGUAUACAAAGUCCUGAGGAUCUUUGGAGAGACCCUGAACUUCCUCAGUUGUCAGAGGUGAUACAGGCACUGCCUAGCCUUUUUGGUCUGGGCCUGAAUGUGGGCAGCCCAUGUCAGGUCUGAGCAGAUGUGGACACUGAGAUACUUGAAGGACUGCACCCUCUCCACUGGAGCUCCAUUGAUGAUAAUGGGCUUGUAGUCUCUGUGCUGACUCCUUCUGAAGUCCACCAACGUUCAGCUGGAGAUGGUUAUCCUGGCACCAUGAUGCCAGAUUCUUCACUUCAUGUAGGCCGCCUCAUCAUUGUUGGAGAUGGCGCCCAACACCACUGUGUCGUCAGCGAACUUCACAAUGGUGUUGGAGCCGUGAGUGGUGACACAGUCUGAAGUGCAGAGGGAGUAGAGCAGUGGUGAGAGGACACACCCCUGUGGUGCUCCUGUGUUGAUGGUGAUGCUGUUACCUCACCAAUUCAGCAGGAAUUAUACCUGCAAAGUCAGAGUGAUAGCUUAACAUCAGGCGAUUUUCUUUCUUGGAUAAGAACUCCACUUUGCCUGUUUUCCCUGUGUGUUUUCUGAUGACCAUUAAGGCAGAAAUGUGAAUGCCCCAAUGACUCUACAGGUACGACAGUGAUUUAUAAUAUACCCUGGUUUUAUCCUCUUGAUACCAGAAGAUCAAUGGCACCACAAAGAAAGGGGUCGAUUCAAUUCUGAUUCUUCCAAAUGUUAAUAAAACCUUUGACGAACAGUACGCUAACCUGGAGCAUCACUUCUUCAGAGACUUCAAAUUUAAAGCUUCGCAGUGGUUCCAUAUUCAAUUCACUUCAAUUUGUAUAUAUAUAUAAUUACAACAACAGUUGCCUCAAAGCACUUUAGUAAGGUAGACCCUACAGUAAUUCAGAGAGAACAGAGAAAACUGCAACAAUCAUUUGACCCCCGAUGAGCAAGUGAUUUGGCGACAGUGGGAAGGAAAAACUCCUUUUUAACAGGAAGAAACCUCUUCUAGAACCAGGCUCAGGGAGGGGCGGCCAAAGAUACGUGGUGUAAGAGAGCCAAAAAUGAACAUUAACUAAUGAUUAAUCACCAUGAUUAAUCACUUAGGGUGUGAAUGUGUAUAAACACAUUCUACUUUUAAAUAGGAACAACAAGUAAGCCUGCAGUGCGAGAGCGAAGUGCUCUGAUAGAUGGGCCGGAUUAUUUAAGACCUUGUAUGUGAGGAGCAGGAUUUAAAAUACAAUUCAAUAAACUGUGCUCUCUGUUUCUAGUCACCAUCAGUAUCCUUGCUGCAGAAUUUUGGAUCAACUGAUCAAUUGCUGUUUGGAUUUAGAGGCCAUGAAAAUAACUGUGACAUGGUGAAUGGCUUUGGAUAAUUACUGGAUCCUGACCCUACUACUGUCUGUCUGAGCUGUUAGACUCCUCAUUGCACCACAUUUGGGUUUGGGCUAUUAAGCUUUUCACUUUUUUGUAUUUCUGUUUAACCGAGCUCCUUCUUUUGUCUAACUGAAUUUUUAAAAAUAAAUUCUUAAAGUUUAAAUUAAAUUAAAUCAAAGAUUUAAAAAUCAUGUUUAUUCUAUUGUACAAGUAAGUUGUGUUUUUCUGUACUGGGGCGAUCGUGGCUCAAGAGUUGGGAGUUCGCCUUGUAAUUGGAAGGUUGCCGGUUCGAGCCCCGGCUUGGACAGUCUUGGUCGUUGUGUCCUUGGGCAAGACACUUCACCCGUUGCCUACUGGUGGUGGUCAGAGGGCCCGGUGGCGCCAGUGUCCGGCAGCCUCGCCUCUGUCAGUGCGCCCCAGGGUGGCUGUG
ensembl:lncRNA